rnacentral:rRNA from 1 species
AUUGAACGCUGGCGGCAGGCCUAACACAUGCAAGUCGAGCGGCAGCGGGAAAGUAGCUAGCUACUUUUGCCGGCGAGCGGCGGACGGGUGAGUAAUGCCUGGGAAAUUGCCCAGUCGAGGGGGAUAACAGUUGGAAACGACUGCUAAUACCGCAUACGCCCUACGGGAGAAAGCAGGGGACCUUCGGGCCUUGCGCGAUUGGAUAUGCCCAGGUGGGAUUAGCUAGUUGGUGAGGUAAUGGAUCACCAAGGCGACGAUCCCUAGCUGGUCUGAGAGGAUGAUCAGCCACACUGGAACUGAGACACGGUCCAGACUCCUACGGGAGGCAGCAGUGGGGAAUAUUGCACAAUGGGGGAAACCCUGAUGCAGCCAUGCCGCGUGUGUGAAGAAGGCCUUCGGGUUGUAAAGCACUUUCAGCGAGGAGGAAAGGUUGAUGCCUAAUACGUAUCAACUGUGACGUUACUCGCAGAAGAAGCACCGGCUAACUCCGUGCCAGCCGCCGCCGUAAUAC